rnacentral:rRNA from 1 species
GGGUUGUGAGGUUAAGCGACUAAGCGUACACGGUGGAUGCCCUGGCAGUCAGAGGCGAUGAAGGACGUGCUAAUCUGCGAUAAGCGUCGGUAAGGUGAUAUGAACCGUUAUAACCGGCGAUUUCCGAAUGGGGAAACCCAGUGUGUUUCGACACACUAUCAUUAACUGAAUCCAUAGGUUAAUGAGGCGAACCGGGGGAACUGAAACAUCUAAGUACCCCGAGGAAAAGAAAUCAACCGAGAUUCCCCCAGUAGCGGCGAGCGAACGGGGAGGAGCCCAGAGCCUGAAUCAGUGUGUGUGUUAGUGGAAGCGUCUGGAAAGGCGCGCGAUACAGGGUGACAGCCCCGUACACAAAAAUGCACAUGCUGUGAGCUCGAUGAGUAGGGCGGGACACGUGGUAUCCUGUCUGAAUAUGGGGGGACCAUCCUCCAAGGCUAAAUACUCCUGACUGACCGAUAGUGAACCAGUACCGUGAGGGAAAGGCGAAAAGAACCCCGGCGAGGGGAGUGAAAAAGAACCUGAAACCGUGUACGUACAAGCAGUGGGAGCCUCUUUUAUGGGGUGACUGCGUACCUUUUGUAUAAUGGGUCAGCGACUUAUAUUCUGUAGCAAGGUUAACCGAAUAGGGGAGCCGAAGGGAAACCGAGUCUUAACUGGGCGUUAAGUUGCAGGGUAUAGACCCGAAACCCGGUGAUCUAGCCAUGGGCAGGUUGAAGGUUGGGUAACACUAACUGGAGGACCGAACCGACUAAUGUUGAAAAAUUAGCGGAUGACUUGUGGCUGGGGGUGAAAGGCCAAUCAAACCGGGAGAUAGCUGGUUCUCCCCGAAAGCUAUUUAGGUAGCGCCUCGUGAAUUCAUCUCCGGGGGUAGAGCACUGUUUCGGCAAGGGGGUCAUCCCGACUUACCAACCCGAUGCAAACUGCGAAUACCGGAGAAUGUUAUCACGGGAGACACACGGCGGGUGCUAACGUCCGUCGUGAAGAGGGAAACAACCCAGACCGCCAGCUAAGGUCCCAAAGUCAUGGUUAAGUGGGAAACGAUGUGGGAAGGCCCAGACAGCCAGGAUGUUGGCUUAGAAGCAGCCAUCAUUUAAAGAAAGCGUAAUAGCUCACUGGUCGAGUCGGCCUGCGCGGAAGAUGUAACGGGGCUAAACCAUGCACCGAAGCUGCGGCAGCGACACUAUGUGUUGUUGGGUAGGGGAGCGUUCUGUAAGCCUGUGAAGGUGUGCUGUGAGGCAUGCUGGAGGUAUCAGAAGUGCGAAUGCUGACAUAAGUAACGAUAAAGCGGGUGAAAAGCCCGCUCGCCGGAAGACCAAGGGUUCCUGUCCAACGUUAAUCGGGGCAGGGUGAGUCGACCCCUAAGGCGAGGCCGAAAGGCGUAGUCGAUGGGAAACAGGUUAAUAUUCCUGUACUUGGUGUUACUGCGAAGGGGGGACGGAGAAGGCUAUGUUGGCCGGGCGACGGUUGUCCCGGUUUAAGCGUGUAGGCUGGUUUUCCAGGCAAAUCCGGAAAAUCAAGGCUGAGGCGUGAUGACGAGGCACUACGGUGCUGAAGCAACAAAUGCCCUGCUUCCAGGAAAAGCCUCUAAGCAUCAGGUAACAUCAAAUCGUACCCCAAACCGACACAGGUGGUCAGGUAGAGAAUACCAAGGCGCUUGAGAGAACUCGGGUGAAGGAACUAGGCAAAAUGGUGCCGUAACUUCGGGAGAAGGCACGCUGAUAUGUAGGUGAAGUCCCUCGCGGAUGGAGCUGAAAUCAGUCGAAGAUACCAGCUGGCUGCAACUGUUUAUUAAAAACACAGCACUGUGCAAACACGAAAGUGGACGUAUACGGUGUGACGCCUGCCCGGUGCCGGAAGGUUAAUUGAUGGGGUCAGCGCAAGCGAAGCUCUUGAUCGAAGCCCCGGUAAACGGCGGCCGUAACUAUAACGGUCCUAAGGUAGCGAAAUUCCUUGUCGGGUAAGUUCCGACCUGCACGAAUGGCGUAAUGAUGGCCAGGCUGUCUCCACCCGAGACUCAGUGAAAUUGAACUCGCUGUGAAGAUGCAGUGUACCCGCGGCAAGACGGAAAGACCCCGUGAACCUUUACUAUAGCUUGACACUGAACAUUGAGCCUUGAUGUGUAGGAUAGGUGGGAGGCUUAGAAGUGUGGACGCCAGUCUGCAUGGAGCCGACCUUGAAAUACCACCCUUUAAUGUUUGAUGUUCUAACGUUGACCCGUGAUCCGGGUUGCGGACAGUGUCUGGUGGGUAGUUUGACUGGGGCGGUCUCCUCCUAAAGAGUAACGGAGGAGCACGAAGGUUGGCUAAUCCUGGUCGGACAUCAGGAGGUUAGUGCAAUGGCAUAAGCCAGCUUGACUGCGAGCGUGACGGCGCGAGCAGGUGCGAAAGCAGGUCAUAGUGAUCCGGUGGUUCUGAAUGGAAGGGCCAUCGCUCAACGGAUAAAAGGUACUCCGGGGAUAACAGGCUGAUACCGCCCAAGAGUUCAUAUCGACGGCGGUGUUUGGCACCUCGAUGUCGGCUCAUCACAUCCUGGGGCUGAAGUAGGUCCCAAGGGUAUGGCUGUUCGCCAUUUAAAGUGGUACGCGAGCUGGGUUUAGAACGUCGUGAGACAGUUCGGUCCCUAUCUGCCGUGGGCGCUGGAGAACUGAGGGGGGCUGCUCCUAGUACGAGAGGACCGGAGUGGACGCAUCACUGGUGUUCGGGUUGUCAUGCCAAUGGCACUGCCCGGUAGCUAAAUGCGGAAGAGAUAAGUGCUGAAAGCAUCUAAGCACGAAACUUGCCCCGAGAUGAGUUCUCCCUGAGACUAUAAGUCUCCUGAAGGAACGUUGAAGACGACGACGUUGAUAGGCCGGGUGUGUAAGCGCAGCGAUGCGUUGAGCUAACCGGUACUAAUGAACCGUGAGGCUUAACCUUACAACGCCGAAG